rnacentral:rRNA from 1 species
AGGACGAACGCUGGCGGCGCGCUUAACACAUGCAAGUCGAGCGAGAACCUGGCCUUCGGGCCUGGGGAAAGCGGCGAACGGGUGAGUAACACGUGGGUAACCCACCCUUGGUACCGGGAUAGCCCGAGGAAACUCGGAUUAAUACCGGAUGGCCCAACAGCUCUUCGGGGCGGUUGGAAAAGGUAGCUUCGGCCUCCGACCAAGGACGGGCCCGCGGCGGAUUAGCUUGUUGGUGAGGUAACGGCUCACCAAGGCGACGAUCCGUAGCUGGUCUGAGAGGACGAUCAGCCACACUGGGACUGAGACACGGCCCAGACUCCUACGGGAGGCAGCAGUGGGGAAUCUUGCGCAAUGGGCGAAAGCCUGACGCAGCGACGCCGCGUGGGGGAAGAAGGCUUUCGGGGUUGUAAACCCCUUUCAGGAAGGACGAAGCCACUCGGGUGAAUAGCCCAGAGGGUGACGGUACUUCCAGAAGAAGCCCCGGCUAACUACGCGCCAGCAGCCGCGGUAA